rfam:Brachypodium distachyon strain Bd21 chromosome 3, whole genome shotgun sequence.
GUAGUACUCGCUCCGUCCAACAAAAGAUGUCUCAAGUUUAAGUGUGUUAAAAUUUGAAUGUAUCUAAACAUGACUUUAUGUAUAGAUUCGUUUAAAUUUAGUCAAAACUGAGACAUCCUUUGUUGGACGAAAGAAGUAUACU